rnacentral:ncRNA from 1 species
AACGGUAGGAGGGGAGGAAGCGGUGUAGCAAAGUCCAGGAGCCUACGAACAGAAACCUGAUAUAAGGCCAAACGGCGGGUAAGGUUGCAAACCAAACCGAAGCCCAAAGGGUAAACGUAAAGCCGAGACGGUAAAUCAGGAGGUUGUCGGACGAAAGAUGU